GAUGAACGCUGGCGGCGUGCUUAACACAUGCAAGUCGAACGGAAAGGCUCCUGCUUGCAGGGGUACUCGAGUGGCGAACGGGUGAGUAACACGUGGGUGAUCUGCCCUGCACUUCGGGAUAAGCCUGGGAAACUGGGUCUAAUACCGGAUAGGACGAUGGUUUGGAUGCCAUUGUGGAAAGUUUUUCGGUGUGGGAUGAGCUCGCGGCCUAUCAGCUUGUUGGUGGGGUAAUGGCCUACCAAGGCGUCGACGGGUAGCCGGUCUGAGAGGGUGUACGGCCACAUUGGGACUGAGAUACGGCCCAGACUCCUACGGGAGGCAGCAGUGGGGAAUAUGGCACAAUGGGCGCAAGCCUGAUGCAGCGACGCCGCGUGGGGGAUGACGGCCUUCGGGUUGUAAACUCCUUUCGCUAGGGACGAAGCGCAAGUGACGGUACCUGGAGAAGAAGCACCGGCUAACUACGU
rnacentral:rRNA from 1 species